rnacentral:tRNA from 1 species
CCAUCGGUGGUUCAGUGGUAGAAUGCUCGCCUGCCACGCGGCCGGCCCGGGUUCGAUUCCCGACCAAUACA